rnacentral:rRNA from 1 species
CAGCAGCCACGGGAAUGCGAAGGGGGCUAGCGUUGCUCGGAAUGACUGGGCGUAAAGGGCGCGUAGGCGGAUUGUUUAGUUAGGCGUGAAAUUCCUGGGCUUAACCUGGGGACUGCGCUUAAUACAGGCAGUCUAGAGUGAGGAAGAGGGUUGUGGAAUUCCCAGUGUAGAGGUGAAAUUCGUAGAUAUUGGGAAGAACACCGGUGGCGAAGGCGGCAACCUGGUCCUUGACUGACGCUGAGGCGCGAAAGCGUGGGGAGCAAACAGGAUUAGAGACCCCAGUAGUCCCUGUCUCUUAUAA